GUCGUAUAUAACAUUAAAGGACUCUCGGCAACGGAUAUCUCGGCUCUCGCAUCGAUGAAGAACGUAGCGAAAUGCGAUACCUGGUGUGAAUUGCAGAAUCCCGCGAACCAUCGAGUCUUUGAACGCAAGUUGCGCCCGAAGCCUUUAGGUCGAGGGCACGCCUGCCUGGGCGUCACGCAUCGCGUCUCCCCCAACCCACCAAGCGUGGGAGGGGCGGAGGAGGAUGGCCUCCCAUGCCUCACCGGGCGUGGAUGGCCUAAAUAGGGAGCCCUCAGUUACGAGAUGCGGGCGAUUGGUGGCCUAAUAUAGGAUGCUUUGCGCCCCGCACCACGUAGCUCUUGAGGUCUCGAAGGACCCUUAGUUGUCUGCCCUAACGGGUGACAAAACCGUUGCGACCCCAGGUCAGGCGGGGCUACCCGCUGAGUUUAAGCAUAUCAAUAAGCGGAGGAA
rnacentral:rRNA from 1 species